UGAGGAACAUGACCUUCGGCGGGGGAUAGCCGGCCCAACGGCCGGGUAAUACCGCGUACGACCACAUGGGGACAUCCCUGAGUGGUGAAAGCAGCAAUGCGCCGAUGGAGUGCCUCGCGGCCUAUCAGCUAGUUGGUGAGGUAACGGCUCACCAAGGCAACGACGGGUAGCUGGUCUGAGAGGAUGGCCAGCCACAUUGGGACUGAGACACGGCCCAGACCUCUACGGGGAGG
rnacentral:rRNA from 1 species